CUCAAUUCACAGCUGAGUAUACGGUGCCAAUACAGUCCCGUCGUAUCUGCUUUCCCCCCACCUAGACCCCACCCCAUCACCCUGCUUCCAUUCCCUCUCUGUCGUUUGUCCUCUGUCUUCCUCCCCUCUUGGAUUGCUCUCAGCCGCCGGCGUCCCUGUACUCCUCCACAAAAUGGCCGUCGACGAGCUCCUCCGUGUAUUGGCAGCAAGGACUUAGGCCAACCUACACGCCAGGCUGGGCCAAGGACUCGCUUGUUCAGAAGCUCGGGUUCGACCAGAUCUAGAUUUCCCUCCUUCUCGCUUGGGAGAAGAGGAGAAACCGCGUUUGGGAGCAGAACGAGCUGCCACGGCCAGAGGAGAAGAUGCUAAAUCUGCCGAAUCCAUCGCUCUGGGGCAACACCAUCCUCUCCCAAGCAAGAGAGCAGGGUAUUCAUCUCCCGUGCAUGUCCAGCACCAGCCAUGGCCAAAUCGGGUCGUGCCUCUCCGCGUAUCGCCCAUGGAGAAGAGGGAACACCGGCACCAGAAGACUGAUUGACUUCGCGAGCCCUUUAACUAUGCACUAUUUUAGCUUAACUUUUCUAUUGAAAAAACUAUUUCAUUUAAAUAUUUAUUUGCGGAUCAGA